GUUCCUUGUUGAGCUCCUCUUCUUCCAGUUUUUUGCUAUUUAGUUCUUCACACCUUUUCUCAUAGGCGGCGCUUACCUGAUUUUGAUAUUGAACUCAGUUAUUGAAAGAUCAUAGUGCUCAGCUGAAAGUAGCUACCAAUUACUGACAAAUAAAGGAAGCCAUCAAAACAGUAAAGUGAAGUUGAGAGUAAAGCACACAGUGGAAGUAAACUCGAGGAGUUCAUGCAAGGAUAAAAGGCAAAAUGUACUGCGCUAUUAUCCAGCAACAUCCAUGAGAACCAGUUCCAGCAUCUUGGUCACUGGAUACUUCAACAAAUGUCAUAGUACAAUUUAUUGUGAUUUAUCAGGACACAGUAGCUCCUGAUUAGGAGGAGGAACUGAAGCUAUGCGUACAUGUCUAAUAAAAAAAAAAGAUGCACUAUAUGCAAGACUACAAAUAGUGUGAAAGGGAGUUAAAAUUACAUCGGUAUGUACAAAAGCUAGCAGCGGUCCGGUAUGCUACAUCACCAAACGUCUUAGCUGAAAUUGAAACAACGGCAUCGACGCGAUUAUUCUUAAGAGGAGGGAUGUGCCACGGGGACCAAGAAACGCACCGACGCCACGCAUCGCCUUCUGCACAUUCUCCGCGGAGAUGAGCGAGUAGGGCGGCCGCGUGGAGGUUGCGGCGCCCCCGGCGACUUCGGUGCCCGCCUCA